GAUAAACGCUGGCGGCGUGCUUUAUGCAUGCAAGUCGAACGAGCUACCUUCGGGUAGCUAGUGGCGAACGGGUGAGUAACACGUAAGUGACCUGCCCCUAAGUAGGGAAUAACUCUGAGAAAUUGGAGCUAAUACCUUAUGUGAUGAUGAAGGUAAAGCUUCAUCAUUAAAACCUUCGGGUGCUUGGGGAUGGGCUUGUGGCUGAUUAGCUAGUUGGUAGGGUAAUGGCUUACCAAGGCGACGAUCAGUAGCUGGUUUGAGAGGGCGGCCAGCCACACUGGGACUGAGAUACGGCCCAGACUCCUACGGGAGGCAGCAGCAAGGAAUAUUGCGCAAUGGGCGAAAGCCUGACGCAGCGACGUCGCGUGGGGGAUGAAGGCCUUCGGGUCGUAAACCCCUUUUCUCAGGGAAGAAUAAUGACGGUACCUGAGGAAUAAGUCUCGGCUAACUACGUG
rnacentral:rRNA from 1 species